CAGGUUUCCCGGUGCAGCUCCAAAGCCGCUAGUGCCACCUGACCCGAGAGAUAUUUUCAGAAUGAUUGAUCAAAUUAUACUUUCUCGUUUUGUCAAAAAACGCAAACAACGAGAAGCUUCAUCCAAAUGCAGCGGGCAUUAGCAGUUCACCCUUUUCAAUGCUUCUACUCACCCCGUUUCGAUCCAAAACCUUACUUUUACAACUCUCCUAAAAUUAAUACACUGUAUCCUUAUUCCAAUUCUACUUCUUUUUCACUUUCCAGAGAGCUAAAAGUUCUUGCUGCUAACAAACAGCAACCCCAUGAUAUAAUAAAUUCUGAAAAUAGAGAUGAUGAAAAUGAGUUGUUACAAGAAAAGGUUAUUGCUGCUGCUGCUGCUGAUGAAUUGGAUUUGGGAUGGUUACCUGCCUUUCCUCACGUUUUGACUGCUUCAAUGUCCAAUUUCCUAUUUGGUUAUCACAUUGGAGUAAUGAAUGGUCCUAUUGUAUCGAUAGCGAAAGAGCUUGGGUUUGAGGGGAAUUCAUUUCUUGAAGGACUUGUGGUGAGCAUAUUUAUUGUUGGUGCAUUCAUAGGAAGCAUAGCCUCUGGUUCCCUUGUUGAUAAACUUGGUUAUCGUCGCACAUUUCAAAUUGACACACUACCACUUAUUCUUGGGGCAAUUGUAAGUGCACAAGCUCAUUCCAUUGAAGAAAUGCUCUUGGGAAGAUUCCUUGUUGGCCUUGGUAUUGGUGUUAAUACAGUAUUAGUUCCAAUUUAUAUUUCUGAGGUCGCUCCAACGCAGUAUAGGGGCUCCCUGGGGUCAUUAUGUCAAAUUGGUACAUGUGUUGGUAUCAUUGCAUCACUUUGUCUGGCAAUUCCCUCAGAAAAUGAUCCGCACUGGUGGAGGACAAUGCUCUAUAUUGCAAGUGUUCCAGGAUUUAUUCUUGCUCUUGGUAUGCAAUUUUCUGUUGAGAGCCCCCGCUGGCUAUGUAAGGCUGGGAGACUUGAUGAGGCAAAAAAGGUCAUCAGAAACAUAUGGGGUUCAUCAGAAGUAGAUAAAGCUAUCGAAGAGUUUGGAUCCGUCAUAAAAAAUGAUGGCAGUGACUUGGACAGCUGUUGGCUGGAACUCCUAGAGGAACCACACUCUAGAGUUGCUACCAUUGGAGGUGCCUUGUUUGUACUUCAACAGUUCGCUGGUAUAAAUGGAGUUCUCUACUUCUCAUCCUUGACUUUCAAAGAUGUUGGAAUCUCAAGCAGCGCUUUAGCAAGCUUAUAUGUAGGACUGACCAACUUUGCAGGUGCACUAUGUGCUUUAUACUUGAUGGAUAAGCAGGGGAGGCAGAGGCUUCUAGUAGGAAGCUAUGCUGGAAUGGCUUUAUCAAUGUUUCUUAUUGUCUGUGCUAUCAGCUUUCCAUUGGAAGGUGAAAUAAGCAACAACUUAUCAAUUGUCGGAACCAUCUUGUAUAUUUUCACCUUUGCUGUUGGAGCUGGGCCUGUAACUGGUCUUAUAAUACCAGAGCUCAGCAGCAGCAGGAUGCGAGGGAAGAUAAUGGGCUUUAGUUUCUCUGUUCAUUGGGUCUGCAACUUCUUGGUGGGUUUGUUUUUUCUGGAACUCGUUGAGAAAUUUGGUGUUGCUCCAGUUUAUGGAAGCUUCGGUGCUUUUUCUUUGAUGGCAGCAGCAUUUGCUUACUAUUUUAUAGUUGAGACUAAAGGCCGAUCUCUUGAAGAGAUUGAGAUGUCACUAAAUCCCAAUUUUCAGGGGAAACGUAAUUCAGAAUGAUCCCAUCUCAUGCUGAAAAAAGAUUGGAGAUUGUGGACAAAUAGUAGGUGCUUGUGCUGAUCACUAAGCUGCACGAGAGUGCGCUUUUGCUCAUUUCAUUUGGACCAUCUUGACGCAUUGAUUGGGUCUUUGUUAUUGAACCUUCACCUAACAGGGGAUUACUGCUGUGUGUGGUACAGUGUCACCUCCAUUAUUAGUAGGCUCCAAUGAAAUGAUGGCACCGUUUUCAGCUUCAAAGGAGGAGAAUUGGACUCCUGACCUUAGCAAUUUUUGAAGGGAUAAAUUAUGUAAGAAUAGAAAAGGAAGGUAACUUUAGUGGAGUAAAUGAUGUAUUCCUUUUGCUUAUUAUAAUCCCCUCUUUUCAUCGAAAAACUUAUAUACAUACAAGAUAGGAAAAAUCUUUCUCAGCUAACAAUGUUUAGAGAAAAGAAAAAAGGGAAAGACUAGAGCUAUUUGGAGAUUAUUGCACUAUUCUCCAUCUUGAAUUCUGUAACUUAUGUUCAACUUCAGCUUAUUAUUGUCU